AGGUGAACAGACGAUUGUGCCCCUUUACAAAUGAGAAACCAAAGACUAGAGAACUCAAGUAACUUACCAAGGUCGUACAGGUGGUCUGUGGCAGAGCAAGGACAUACCUGGUCACCCACACCCAGAACCCACAUGCUACAAGGUGCAGGCUGGUCUGCGGAAGGGCCAGUCUGUCGUGAAAAACAAGAUGCUCUUGAGAAAGUGGGUGAAGGGCCUCACCUGGUGUGUCGCUUAGUUCCUUUCCCUUUUGAUCAUCCCUUUGUUGAUUUAUCUUCAGUCAAAAAGUCAUGCCAGGUCUACUGAAGUUGAACUUGUGGUUCAGCUGCUUGGGAAUACCACACCUCCACCCGGCCCGGCAUUCUAGGAGCACCAGUAAGGGAGUCAGGGUGGCCUGUCAGUCUUUUGUAUCCUUUGAGUCUCUGCCCUCUUGUCCUUAAGUAUGGCUAUGUGUCACAAUGUCCAAUAAAACAAAAUGGAUGAACUGAAGAAGAGUUUCAGUCCAUGAAAAGAAAUAAUGCAGACUUACUUAUAAGUGGAGGGAACAGUUUGCCAAGGGGAGGAAAAUCUAAGCAUCUACACCCUUGUUCAGAGCUGGUUCAGAAAGCAAGGAGAGGCACAUAAAAUCAAGUAGAGCUGUCUUUUAGUUGAUCCCUGAUGCUUAAAAAGUGAAACAAAAUAAGGCAUUACCGAGAAGAGCAACCAGAUCAGCCAUUGGUUCAUGAAGGAUGCCACCAAAGGUUCCUGAGUGAAAAUCCUGGUCUCUGCAUUUCACCUGCAGAGUAGAUAAAAGGAAGAUCCUAAGUAACAACAGAAGAAAAAAAUUGCACAA
rnacentral:lncRNA from 10 species